UUCUUUUAUUUCAAGCUCUCUUGAAUCUAUUCUAUUAGGCCUUUAUAUCUCUACGCCUCUCUGGCUCUCUCUCUUCUACUCAUCUGUGGGGUUACACAUCUUGGAUAGUGGUGAAGAGAUGGCUGUGGAACUCAUGAUGGGCUUUUCUGGUGAUAGUUUUCCAGCCAAGAUGCAAGAGAAUGCUGUGAGAGAAGCGGCUACUGCUGGGAUCCAGAACGUUGAGGAGGUCAUUAAGCUGCUCAAAAGAAAUCAGCUGCAGCAGCAACAAUACUACCCUGAGUUUUCUUCUUCAGCGGGUAAUAGUCCUCCAGGGUCGGAUAAUAUUAUGGCUGGUUACAGAUGCGGCUGUGAACAGUUUCAAGAAGGUUAUUUCUUUGCUUGGUCGCACCACGAGAACCGGCCAUGCUCGCUUUCGUAGAGCCCCUGUUUCUACGGCUUCUGUUACUCAAGAACAGCAGAAGCAACCACAACCACAAGAGCAGCAGCAACAAGUUCAAGAUCCAGGGCCUUCUCUUCGACCUAUCACAGAGCAAGUCUCUGCCUUUAGAGUUUACCAUCCGACUCCGGUUCAUCGGCUCCCUCCCUUGCCUAAUGGUCACCACCACCAGCAAAAGAGUCAUCUUUUAGUUACAAAGAAUGGGUUUUCAGAGAGGAACGAGAUGGCUUCUUCUACUAAUUUCUCUAAUUCACCUUCAAUCUCUGCCUCUACUUCUUUCAUGUCUUCCUUAACAGGGGAAACCGAUAGUGUACAGCGCUCCAUGUCCUCUGGGUUUCAAUUUGCCCAACCCUUACAUGUCUCAUCUGCUGGAAAACCUCCUCUGUCCUCAGCUUCCCUUAAAAGAAAGUGCAAUUCCAUGGACGAUGCUGCUCUAAAGUGCGGUUCCUCUUCAGGGCGAUGCCAUUGCUCCAAGAAAAGGAAAUCAAGAGUGAAGAGAGUGGUUAGAGCCCCUGCAAUUAGUAACAGGAUGGCUGAUAUUCCGCCUGAUGACUAUUCCUGGAGAAAGUAUGGUCAAAAGCCCAUCAAAGGGUCUCCUCAUCCAAGGGGAUAUUACAAGUGCAGUAGCAUGAGAGGGUGCCCGGCUCGGAAACAUGUGGAGAGAGCUCUGGAUGAUCCUAUGAUGCUGAUUAUCACAUACGAAGAUGAUCACAAUCACUCCCAAUCCAUCAAUGAUGCACCAGCCGUUCGGGUUCUGGAAUCAUCUUAAAAAGUCAACUCAUCUAGGGGCUCAGCAAAGUUCUUUCUUAUUUUAAAUCACAGCCGUUGAAGAGAAUAGUGAGCAGAUAGUCAACGCAGAAGGCCUAGAUGGUUACGUUAGCUGCCUAAGCAAGAUCGAAAAAUAUAGAACUCCUGUGCUUUGUCCUCUCUUUUCUCCCCAAAGACUGUUGAGAAAUAUGAAAAAAAAAAGGAUUAGGAGUAAGUAGAUAUUGUGGAUUUGGUGGGAGUUGAAUCAUGCAAGUAGUGGAGACUUUAUUUAUUUAUUUAUUUUUAUAGAAUUGUGC
rnacentral:misc_RNA from 1 species